GCUGAGGUGGCAGAGGAAAUAUGCGUCAGGUUUAAGAGUUGAAUACGGGAGAUAAAUCCCUCUUGGCA
rnacentral:tRNA from 1 species